GAUCCGGCUCAGGAUGAACGCUAGCUACAGGCUUAACACAUGCAAGUCGAGGGGCAGCAUGGUCUUAGCUUGCUAAGGCCGAUGGCGACCGGCGCACGGGUGAGUAACGCGUAUCCAACCUGCCUUACACUCUUGGACAGCCUUCUGAAAGGGAGAUUAAUACAAGAUGUUAUCAUGAGUAAGCAUUUUCGCAUGAUUAAAGGUUUACCGGUGUAAGAUGGGGAUGCGUUCCAUUAG
rnacentral:rRNA from 1 species